AGAGAGAGAAUGGAGAACAAACAGAGAAGGAAGCCAAGAACAGCCUCCAAGGAGAACACAACAUUCAAGGUACAUGUAAAAGAAUAGAAGCCAGUAGAGAAAGAAGGACAAAUCAGAGGGAAGAAGAGCCAGGAGAUACCUUUCAGAAGCCAUGGUAUUAAACAUCUCUAGUGCCCCAGUUAAGUCAAAUAAGGUGGGAAGUGGAAACUGAUGAAGUUUAUUGGACUUGGUGCUUUCGAAGUCACUGGAAAUUACCACCACAGCAAUUUCAGUAGAUUAGCAAGGUGUUGACUAGAGUACCAUUAAGAGUGAUUGAAAGGUAAAGAGAUGAAGACAACAAACAAAGGCUAUUCUUCUAAGAAAUUUAUCAUGAAGAUAAGAAGAAAAGGGGAAAUUUAGAGACAGACGCACAUGCAGGGGAAUGCCAUGUGAGGAUGCAGAGACCAAGGUGAUGCUUCUAUAAGCCAGAGAAUGACAAAGAUUGCCUGAAAACCACCAGAAGCUAAUGGAAAGACAUAGAACAGUUUCUUCCCCACCAAGCUCAGAAAGGACAAACCUAUCUACACCUUCAUUUCUCUCUUUUUUUUUUUUGCCCUAAAGCAAUGAAAUGCAGAUCGACAUCUUCAUUUUGGACAUCUAGUCUCUAGAACUCUGGGACAAUAAAUUUCUGUUGAUUAUA